rnacentral:rRNA from 1 species
AACGAACGCUGGCGGCAUGCCUAACACAUGCAAGUCGAACGAGACCUCCGGGUCUAGUGGCGCACGGGUGCGUAACGCGGGGGAAGCUGCCCUUAGGUUCGGAAUAACACCCCGAAAGGGGUGCUAACACCGGAAAAUGUCUUCUAAUCAAAGAUAUGUCGCCUUUGUAUGGGCACGCGUUGGAUUAGCUUGUUGGUAGGGUAAAAGCCUACCACGGGGACGAUACAUAGCUGGUCUGAGAGGAGGAGCAGCCACACUGGGACGGAGACACGGCCGAGAAUCUUACGGGAGGCAGGAGUGGGGAAUAUUGGACUAUCGCCGAGAGCAUGAUGCAGCAAUGCCGGGUGAGUGAUGAAGGCGUUAGGGAUGUAAAGCUGUUUUACCCGGGAUGAUAAUGACGGUACCGGGAGAAUAAGCUCCGGCUAACUCCGUG